GAACUUGUUGAGAAGAUGGUUAGUGGUAAGACAAUUAGUUUCUGCAUUGAAAUAGUUUGACCAGCCACACCCAAGUCAGAAGCAGCAGAGAUCAAUACCUAUCUCCCAUCAUCACUUCCAUCCUCAGGUUUAUAUACCUGAAAUACUUUUUUGUCUUCCAUCCUCAUUGUAACAAAAAUUCCUAAAUACUCUUAUUCUAGCUUUAACAGCUAGUGCAACAGCUAGUAUAAGAAUUAAGACUUAUUAACUGCAUUGUUAGUUUGUCAUUAUUUCUAGAUGAUAAUGGUAUGGCUAGAAGUCAAGAUCUAUUUGCAUUGCUUGC